AGGAAUCUGCCUGGUAGUGGGGGAUAACGUCCGGAAACGGACGCUAAUACCGCAUACGUCCUACGGGAGAAAGCAGGGGACCUUCGGGCCUUGCGCUAUCAGAUGAGCCUAGGUCGGAUUAGCUAGUUGGUGGGGUAAUGGCUCACCAAGGCGACGAUCCGUAACUGGUCUGAGAGGAUGAUCAGUCACACUGGAACUGAGACACGGUCCAGACUCCUACGGGAGGCAGCAGUGGGGAAUAUUGGACAAUGGGCGAAAGCCUGAUCCAGCCAUGCCGCGUGUGUGAAGAAGGUCUUCGGAUUGUAAAGCACUUUAAGUUGGGAGGAAGGGCAGUAAAUUAAUACUUUGCUGUUUUGACGUUACCGACAGAAUAAGCACCGGCUAACUCUGUGCCAGCAGCCGCGGUAAUACAGAGGGUGCAAGCGUUAAUCGGAAUUACUGGGCGUAAAGCGCGCGUAGGUGGUUCGUUAAGUUGGAUGUGAAAUCCCCGGGCUCAACCUGGGAACUGCAUUCAAAACUGACGAGCUAGAGUAUGGUAGAGGGUGGUGGAAUUUCCUGUGUAGCGGUGAAAUGCGUAGAUAUA
rnacentral:rRNA from 1 species